GUAGCACAGCUAAGGAAAAGGGGGGAAAAAUGGCGGACUGCGUUGUUUGGCGACCCCCGUGAAAUGGUCGUUCGACCCCAAACGGGGUCCCGACCCACAGGUUGAGAACCACUGUCUUAGAUGCAUCUCUUAUUUUACGAGAAUUGAGAUCGUUACAGAAAUGGGAUUCUGAAUGGUCCUCUAUCAACAUCUAUUGAUCUCGAAACGUGAAGUGUUUGGAUUUUAGCUCAGAUUUAGCUUGGAUUGUGUUGCAGAAACCCUGCUGGUUUUCAUGCUUGAGUGUUUCAAAGUUUUCAGGCAUACACGUGUACCCCUCACCCCAUGUAUCAGUUUUACCAUAUAAUCAAUCCGUAGUUCAUAGGAGCAGCACUGCAUCCCUUCAGAUAAAGAUCUUUCUUCUUGCUUUUAGUGGGUUUUUAAGAAACAGUGAUAAGCAAGGGAAUUGUUGCCUCCAAUUUAGCCUUGGCUUUAUAAAAGCAAGCAAGAAGCUGAUGGCUCAGUAUAUAAGGUAACAGGCUAAUAGCACUUUCCCUCCCUUAAAUACUUCACUGUUUGCUAGAAGUAAGUGCAGCGAUUGCUUGAAAUGGCCUAUUAAUUUAUUUUUUCCUUUUAAGUUAUACCAUAGCCAAGUCAAGCGUGCAUUUGAUAAUACUAGAUGUAAAUGCAGUGCUAUAGGCAAUAAGAUACCCAUCUUCACAUCAGCAAAUAGCAUUGUUACGUUCCAGUCUUCUGAGAAAUGUUUAACCCUCCCUCCAGUGGUCAAUCUCUUACAGUUUUUAGGUACUUUCAAUCCAGGUCCAAUCCAGAGGAAGUAAGUUGUGAACUGGCACAACAGAUUUGCAGGUCUGAAUCAGUUCGCUUGAUCUAUUGCAUUCUUGACAUCCCAGUUAUCUCUAUGGAUGCCGAGAUCCAUUAUAAGAUGACUUUUAAUUCUGUCUUGCUGCUGUGACUUUCAGAAAAUAUAUAAAUGCCAUGCUGAUCACAAAAGAGCUAUUUAAUGGAAUAUAUAACUCCUUUUUUUAUUUAUUUGUUUGAGCUUUAUGUUUUGGUUUCUCCCCAUGUUUUAAUCCUUAAGUCGUUUUUUAUGAAGUACCUAUUGAGUUACCGGUCUAAAAGUCCUAGACACCCACUCUGCAUGCCUUCCUGUCUGUGAAACUGUGUUGGAAAGUUUAAGGCAAAGAGGGAAGGUUGAACUUUGGGUCCCAGUUGUAUAGAAAAUUAAGCACUUGAGUUAUUUAAUAACUGGGUAGUCACCCUACCUCUUUAGUUUUAAUGUUCAGGGAAUUCCACAGCAUAUGUACUGUGCUAAUUUGAGGCUAAGAAGACAGAAUGUACCCUAUACAUGCAUACCUCUGUAAAAACUCAACUGGAUGAAGGGUUACGAAACAGUAGAUGUUAACUUAUUUGAUCCAACUUACUAGACUGCCAAUUUGAAGAAGUGUAUAAUAAUUUAUAAAAAAAAAAUUAUGAGAAUUUUCUAUUAAAUGUUUGGGCUUAAAAUAAGGAAAAAAAAUGAGCAUCUGUGCUGGGCCUGUUAUCUCUUCUUGUAUGUUUGUCAACUCUUAAUGAACAGAGAUUGCCAAGCACACCAAAGAAAUGGACAAGAAAUGGAUCAUUAGGAAACCACAAACCUCAUUCUUUUGAAAACAGCUAGAGUUUUUUGUAAAUAUUUAUGUUUAUAGAUGUACAGCAGAGUGUGUUUUUCUAGAUUAUUUAAUUAUCAUAUUUCUAAUCUAUUUACAAUAUUAGAUACCAUAUUUGUUUGUUCCAAAGGCUUCUGUUUGGAUUGCAAUUUGUUCUCUUUCUCUCUUUCUCUCUCUCCCUUUGCUUAAUUCAUUACUCAUGCAAUGAAAAACUUUGUCCUUCUGAGGACAGCAUGAAAAUAUAGUAGCCAAAUAUUUGUUAAUAUUCAAUACUUUUAUAUAACACAAGGGAAAAGACCCCAAUGUGGGAGUAACUUUAGUCCCUACAAAUUGUGGCUUACAAAUAAGAGGACACCAACAAAAACAUACACUUCCCAUAAAAUUCCCAAUUCCUUCCCCCAUUAAGGCCUUAUUAUACUAAUGCAAAACAGGCUUCCAACCCUAUUUCAGAUUCUAGUUAAGAGCUGAAUCUUGGCUUAUGAUUAACCACACUUAGCAGUAGUAUAGACGUAAUGCUAAGCUUUGGUUAUGGCUAAGAAUAGAAGGGCAAGAAAGUGUGUAAGGAGAUCAGAUUCCUAAUGUACUAAUCUUGUUUAUCAGGGAACCGGUGGUCUGCCUGAAGCUUUGAAAGUUCUCUUGAAGAAAAUAGGUCAUUUUUCUGCUCCAGCAAGCUUCUGUUCGUUUCAGUCCUGUAGGACUUGAGAUGGAGGCUUCCUUAGUGGUGCCAUCACGUGCUUGUCAGGUUGCUACAGUGAACCAAGAGAAUUUGAGACCUCAGACUGGUCAAGUCACAACUGUCACUGUGGGAAGGAUAACGUACAAUUUUGUCUCCUGUUCUGUCUUCCAUGCAGCUCUCUCCAUGUUAGCAAUUUCAUAAUAUAUUUUGCUUUUCCUUUUGUAAUGUAAGGCUUUCCAUUGGGUCAUUUUGAAUUAAAAUAAUUUCCCAAUUCUUUUAAAUUUGGUCAUCUCUCUCUCUGACUUUCUCUCUCUCUCUGUCUCUCUCUCCCUCCCUCCCUUCCGCGCCCCCCCCAAUUAAUUCUUUAAGCAGGAAUAUUUUGUACUGUAAAGAUGGAGAAGUGCCAUCUCAGUGCCUGUCUUUUAGAAAAUUAUUAGUUGGAUUUAUGAUUUAAUUUUAUUAUUUAUUGAACAUGGAUUCAGCAAGUAUGAUCAUCUACUUCAGAGCUGAUAUUUCACUGCUAUCAAACUUAUGAUGUUCUCAGAUCUGGAAAGCACUUGUGUUCUGAUAAUUUGAGCAACUGACUACAUAAAUGGAAUAAAUUGAUUUAAAUUAGUGGUUUAAAUUGCCAGUAUGAAAUGUGAGUUCGACUAUUUGAUUUAAAUCCUGAUCCUUCAUUUACUAAAAGCUUUCCAAUUAAAAUAGUGUCCUGACAUUACUGUAGUUAUGAAAAUACUUAAAACUGACGCCCCAAAGUGGACUUUCUUUCAAGAUUAUAGAUUGUAUGUGAUGGUUGCAUAUUUUUAGGAAAUAUUAUUAGACAAACACAACACAACUGUUUUUAUUAAGCUUAUUUUGUUCCCAUAGCACAGUGAUCAUCGUUCAGUCCUAGAGAUCGCCAUUGUGGAAAUCAAGAUAUUAUGUGGUACAGAAGUCUUCCCCAAACUGGAUGUGUUGGGAUGCACCUUCCAGGGUUCCCAGCCAGCAAGGCCUUGAUAAAAGCCAUGUAACUUGGAAUUCUCUAAGUUGUAAAUCUCAGCGUCCUGAGGAUGUGCCAGGCUGGGACAAGCUGGUCUACAACAUCAGGCUGAGACAAGCUGGUCUAUAACAAGCCACAUGGAGAAGAGGAAACUUGAGAGUUCACAAGGUUAAUGCUGUAUGGAAUGAAACUAUGAUUGAAUCUGGAUGUUCUGCUUCGGAUACCACGAAGUCCCCUUCUCCCGGAAGGGAACAAGGAAAACAGGUUGUAAAGAGGAUGUGUAAUGUCCCAGACAAUCCCGCGUACCUUGCUCAGUUCACUUGUCACUUGUGUGUGAGGUGGAUAUGUGUUUUCUAUUUGGAUAAGAUAUUGGAAAUUGCAACUCUUGAAUCAGAAACCUUCUUCUGAAUAGUACGGAGUAGACAUUAACACAAGAGAGCUCAACCUUGAGCAAUCCUCUGAGUAGCAAAGAAAGACUAGCUCAAGGUCCUGGAGAAACAGUUGAGACUUUAUUUCUAGUUGUUCUUUUUCUUUUUUUAAGAAAAGCAAAAGUGAAUUUGAAGCAUAUGAAACACGAUCUACGAGGCAAAGCUUUACAUACCUGAAGGACAGAAUCAUUUGUCUUCACAACCGCCACUCCUGAUGGUAACCUGACAGACUGAAUCCUGGUGACACAAGCUUGGGGGGGGGCACACAAUUCUUGAAAUAAUUAACCCCCACCCCCCAGAUCUUCUCACACAUGACUUCCCUUGGAGAAUGUACCCAUCUUAGUUUUCACUUUUUUUCUUUUUUUUGUUCUUCUUCUGUAUUUUGGAUCCUUUAGCCUUGCUUGAGAGUGUUGGAAGAUUUUUCAAGGAGUGCCCACACAGUUUUGCUUGUGUAACUAAGGGACUAAAGCCAUUUGUAAAGCUAUUUUUUUUCCAGAUCACCACUAAAGGGCUAAGAAAAGUUAA